AGAAAUUCUCUCCUUUUGAGUCAUGUCAUUCCUAAUUUUUCUCUUCAUCCCGCCAUGUCACUGCCAUCUCAUUCCUACUUUAAAAACUUAAAAUUUUCCGUCUUUUUUUGCUGCACACGAAGGCAUCCCUCUUCCUAUUCUCCCUGACUUUUUUUCUCAUGAAACCCUACAUAGCCAGCAAAAGCAUUCUUCUAGCAUGUUGUCUUACGGAAAGAAAAGCUUAAAUCUCAAAGGGUUUAUGGUAACAAUCGUGUGGUUACACAGUAAAACCCAGUAGUUGCGUCGAUCGGUUUGUUUAGGAUUUUUCUUGAUAUGAUAUUUUCUUAUUGUUUGGUGAAGGAAAGUUUCCCUCUCCCUAUUCUCUCUGACUUUCUUUCUCAUUAAACCUAUAGCCGGCAAAAUCAUUGUUACACAGUAAAUCCAUGCAGUUAAAUCAUUGUUUUUGAUGAUUUUUAUGAUUCCGCUUGUUUGUUUUUUUUGUUCUUAACCUAAAUUAUGCAUUCGGCAGGAUUAGGGUAUGAUGAUCUUUACCACAAAUUCCUAACCCUACUUUCUGUCCUUAUCACGAUUUUAUCAUUACUCAUGAUAUUUGAUUUGUUUUCUUUUAUUUUGCAGGGAAGAUUUGUGUUGCGUACGACUAGGAGAGCUAAAUGCUAAGUCAUAUUAAAACCAUUAAUCUGUGUUGCAGAAGAAUUACUUUCAUAAAAACGCGACAUGACUGCAGUGAACAAAGUCUGUAUCGUGCAAAGAAUAAAAUUGAAUAUUUCAUACAGUUUGGUGCAGUCCAUAUGCGUGCAUAUGCAAGCUGGAAAAGAGCAUGUUAGACAAGUCUUUUCUAUGGUGGAAACUUCGAUCAAUUGACUAAAGCUAUCUCCAUGAGUUCCAGUCACAAUAUCAUCAGAAGAAUCAUUUUCAAGAGUAUUUCAACUGAAAACUUUAAGUGACUUGGAUACAUGUUGUUCUUCGCUGCCUUAAAUCGAUUACUAGGUUCAUGGAGAAUAAAACCUCAUCACCAGCUCAUCGUGGAGUCGUGAUAAUUAUGAAGAAAAUAAUACUUGGCUUGCGAUGGUACAUCCAAAAAAUAUUUAUGUGCUGCACUGAUAGAGGAUAUAUUAAGGCUAUCUUGGACUUUCCUACUAAUUACAAUAAGAAGCUCGAUUUCUUCAUAAUUCAAUUUUUGAUGAGAUCUUUCCAUUUUUUAUUAUAGGGGUUAAGGCGCCAAGCUCAACUUCUAAGACUCCAAAUACUCAAGGAUGAUAAAAUAGGAAGUCCAACUCCAAAUGGUGAACAGAUUGAGGGUUAAGGAAAUGAUGUGAAUUAUCCUAUCUCGAGACAGCUGAGAUUAUUCUUGAAAUGUAGAUGCAGGUGAAUGCUAUACAGGUUUGUCACGGAUGCAUCGGGUUACAAAUUUUUAUUUGAACUCCACGUCGAGUAUAUUAUGUGAACCUGAUAUGUGAAGUUAACAGUAUGAGAAAGUUCACUUGGUGGUGAUUAUAAUUAAAUUACAUCCAUUGACUACAUAUGAGGUUGAUUGGAGGAUAGUACCGAAAGAUUUGGGGAGUAUUGCUUGAAUAGUGGAUAUGGUAGAAAAAAACUUAAUUAUAUCCUUCUAUACUAUUGGAGGUAUGUUAAUUUUGGACCGAUAGUGAGGCGGGAGCUGGCAUUCAAGAGGUUUAUAUUAUCCCAUUUAACCGGCCUGACUGACAAGGGAAUUCUUAACAUUUAUGCAAAAUGAAGAAGAAACCUAUGUAAUAUAUGCCCAGUUCUAUUGUUGUUGAAUUUACAUUCUAUGUAGCAAGUGCUACUUUUUUUGAA